UGGGGAAUAUUGCACAAUGGGCGCAAGCCUGAUGCAGCCAUGCCGCGUGUAUGAAGAAGGCCUUCGGGUUGUAAAGUACUUUCAGUCGGGAGGAAGGUGGUAAGGUUAAUAACCUUAUCAAUUGACGUUACCGACAGAAGAAGCACCGGCUAACUCCGUGCCAGCAGCCGCGGUAAUACGGAGGGUGCAAGCGUUAAUCGGAAUUACUGGGCGUAAAGCGCACGCAGGCGGUUGAUUGAGUCAGAUGUGAAAUCCCCGGGCUUAACCCGGGAACUGCAUCUGAUACUGGUCAGCUAGAGUCUUGUAGAGGGGGGUAGAAUUCCAUGUGUAGCGGUGAAAUGCGUAGAGAUGUGGAGGAAUACCGGUGGCGAAGGCGGCCCCCUGGACAAAGACUGACGCUCAGGUGCGAAAGCGUGGGGAGCAAACAGG
rnacentral:rRNA from 1 species